GAGUUUGAUCAUGGCUCAGAUUGAACGCUGGCGGCAUGCCUUACACAUGCAAGUCGAACGGCAGCACGGGAGCUUGCUCCUGGUGGCGAGUGGCGAACGGGUGAGUAAUGCAUCGGAACGUAUCCUGGAGUGGGGGAUAACGUAGCGAAAGUUACGCUAAUACCGCAUAUUCUGUGAGCAGGAAAGCGGGGGACCUUCGGGCCUCGCGCUCUUGGAGCGGCCGAUGUCGGAUUAGCUAGUUGGUGAGGUAAAGGCUCACCAAGGCGACGAUCCGUAGCAGGUCUGAGAGGAUGAUCUGCCACACUGGAACUGAGACACGGUCCAGACUCCUACGGGAGGCAGGCAGUGGGGAAUUUUGGACAAUGGGGGCAACCCGUGAUCCAGCCAUGCCGCGUGAGUGAAGAAGGCCUCGG
rnacentral:rRNA from 1 species